UUGACCUCGGAUCAGGUAGGACUACCCGCUGAACUUAAGCAUAUCAAUAAGCGGAGGAAAAGAAACCAACAGGGAUUGCCCCAGUAACGGCGAGUGAAGCGGCAACAGCUCAGAUUUGGAAUCUGGCCCCCAGGGCCCGAGUUGUAAUCUGGAGAGGAUGCUUCUGGCGCGGCGCCUUCCGAGUUCCCUGGAACGGGACGCCGGAGAGGGUGAGAGCCCCGUACGGUCGGACGCCCAGCCUUUGUGAAGCUCCUUCGACGAGUCGAGUAGUUUGGGAAUGCUGCUCAAAAUGGGAGGUAAAUUUCUUCUAAAGCUAAAUACCGGCCAGAGACCGAUAGCGCACAAGUAGAGUGAUCGAAAGAUGAAAAGCACUUUGAAAAGAGGGUUAAACAGUACGUGAAAUUGUUGAAAGGGAAGCGCCCGUGGCCAGACUUGUGCCCCGCGGACCACCCGGCGCCCUCAGCGCCGGUGCACUCCGCGGGGCGCAGGCCAGCAUCGGUUUUCCUAGGGGGAUAAAGGCGGCGGGAACGUGGCUCCCUCGGGAGUGUUAUAGCCCGCCGCGCCAUGCCCCUGGGGGGACCGAGGACCGCGCUUCGGCAAGGAUGCUGGCGUAAUGGCCACCGGCGACCCGUC
rnacentral:rRNA from 1 species